GAUGAACGCUGGCGGCGUGCCUAAUACAUGCGAGUCGAGCGAACGGACGAGAAGCUUGCUUUUCUGAUGUUAGCGGCGGACGGGUGAGUAACACGUGGAUAACCUACCUAUAAGACUGGGAUAACUUCGGGAAACCGGAGCUAAUACCGGAUAAUAUUUUGAACCGCAUGGUUCAAAAGUGAAAGACGGUCUUGCUGUCACUUAUAGAUGGAUCCGCGCUGCAUUAGGUAGUUGGUAAGGUAACGGCUUACCAAGGCAACGAUGCAUAGCCGACCUGAGAGGGUGAUCGGCCACACUGGAACUGAGACACGGUCCAGACUCCUACGGGAGGCAGCAGUAGGGAAUCUUCCGCAAUGGGCGAAAGCCUGACGGAGCAACGCCGCGUGAGUGAUGAAGGUCUUCGGAUCGUAAAACUCUGUUAUUAGGGAAGAACAUAUGUGUAAGUAACUGUGCACAUCUUGACGGUACCUAAUCAGAAAGCCACGGCUAACUACGUG
rnacentral:rRNA from 1 species